rnacentral:tRNA from 3 species
GCUCCUGUGGCGGAAGGGAAGACGCUCUAGACCGAGGAUCUAGAUUUUGUGGGUUCGAUUCCCACCGGGAGUACCA